rnacentral:rRNA from 1 species
CACAAGCGGAGGAGCAUGUGGUUUUAAUUCGAUGAUACGCGGAGGAACCUUACCUGGGCUCGAACGUAAGAUGACUGUAGGUGAAAGCUUACAUCUCUUCGGAGCUAUUUUACGAGGUGCUGCAUGGUUGUCGUCAGCUCGUGCCGUGAGGUGUCGGGUUAGGUCCCAUAACGAGCGCAACCCCUACCUUUAGUUGCCAUCAGGUUAAGCUGGGGACUCUAAAGGAACUGCCUACGCAAGUAGUGAGGAAGGCGGGGAUGACGUCAAAUCAGCACGGCCCUUACGUCCAGGGCUACACACGUGCUACAAUGGCCGAUACAGAGGGCAGCUACCUGGUGACAGGAUGCAAAUCUCCAAAGUCGGUCUCAGUUCGGAUCGGAGUCUGCAACCCGACUCCGUGAAGUUGGAUUCGCUAGUAAUCGCGCAUCAGCCAUGGCGCGGUGAAUACGUUCCCGGGCCUU